rnacentral:rRNA from 1 species
UACGAAGGGGGCUAGCGUUGCUCGGAAUCACUGGGCGUAAAGCGCACGUAGGCGGAUUGUUAAGUCAGGGGUGAAAUCCUGGAGCUCAACUCCAGAACUGCCUUUGAUACUGGCUAUCUCGAGUCCGGGAGAGGUGAGUGGAACUGCGAGUGUAGAGGUGAAAUUCGUAGAUAUUCGCAAGAACACCAGUGGCGAAGGCGGCUCACUGGCCCGAUACUGACGCUGAGGCACGAAAGCGUGGGGAGCAAACAGG